UGGGGAAUAUUGCACAAUGGGCGAAAGCCUGAUGCAGCAACGCCGCGUGAGGGAUGACGGCCUUCGGGUUGUAAACCUCUUUUAGUAGGGAAGAAGUGUUUGCUUUCGUAAACAUGACGGUACCUGCAGAAAAAGCACCGGCUAACUACGUGCCAGCAGCCGCGGUAAUACGUAGGGUGCGAGCGUUGUCCGGAAUUAUUGGGCGUAAAGAGCUCGUAGGCGGUCUGUCGCGUCUGCUGUGAAAACCCGAGGCUCAACCUCGGGCUUGCAGUGGGUACGGGCAGACUAGAGUGCGGUAGGGGAGAAUGGAAUUCCUGGUGUAGCGGUGGAAUGCGCAGAUAUCAGGAAGAACACCGAUGGCGAAGGCAGUUCUCUGGGCCGUAACUGACGCUGAGGAGCGAAAGCGUGGGGAGCGAACAGG
rnacentral:rRNA from 1 species